UACAACUUUUAAUAUAAAUUUCAUCAUUCACGUUCAGUGGAGGAACUAUUGUAAUCAAUUAUGGAAUCGAAAAAAUUAUUUAUUCUCUGAUUUCAAAAUAUUCGCUCGCGAAAUACAUCUAUAACAAAGGACAUAGAAUCAGCAUCAAAUCAAGGUGCGACCUAGUGCAUAAAAUUAACUUAUGAGUCAAAUAGUGAACAUUGGGCUGAUUCCACAGUUUACCCUUAAAUCAUAAACUUGGCUUAGACUAAGUGUAACUUAAAUCGUUGACUGUAUUCCACUUCCCACCAAGGACGUAUUUUUAGUUAAGUGUCGAUUCCGCUUUUGAGAACUGCUGACUAGCAAUUUUUCUGAACUAGUUACUUACAUCUAUAUUUUGUGGUUACCAUAGAUAAGGGGUCCAACUUUUGAAUUUAUCGAGAGUUACCAAGAGCAGUAAAUGGAAGAGGAAAAUGGAAAUAACCCGUAGGUUCUCACAUUCGGCUAAAAAUGUGUCCAAAAGUGUGGCUACUGGAGUUGUUGAAGAAGCAAUGGGAUAUGGAUUUAAGUUCAGCAACAUAAUCUACUACUGCAGUAACUUUCCCAAAAUUUGAAGAUUUAAAUAUGAAUUCAGAUGUUAGUUUACUAUCUUCAUCUAUACAGCAGCACCCAAAUCAUUUGUUGAUAGUGCAGCUCAACUUCCAAAAAAUUACUUGGGAUUCAACUGUUUGAAAAGAAAAUUAAAUACUCUUCAAUAAAAAGUUAGACCUAGAGAUGACAAGAUUUCAAAUAUGAAAGAAGUUAUAAAUGAAAUUUUUGAAUUUCAUUUAUAACUUCUUUCAUAUUUGAAAUCUUGACAUCUCUAGGAGAUAGGUGAUAUCGUGAUUAAAAAUUGGAUGUAGUUUCGAAGAACUAUUUUGAAGCUAAUUUGAAAGUCACCUGCAGAUUUAAACUGAAAGAUGUAUACAUAUAACCUCUGGAACCUAUUUUGCUCCAGGACAAAGGAUAUAUUCUUCAAUGAUGAAGGAAUUUGCACUAUAUUUCAAUUCACCUUACAAUUUUUACUUCAUGCAUCAUAUAUACAUCACAUGAAGUUCAAAUCAACAGAAAUAUUUCAAAUAUAUUCUUGAAAUGUAGAAUGCACCAUGAAUCUAAACUAAUUGAUGAUGAACUUCAGGGAAGAUCGACAACCAUCAGACAAACAAUGUCUUAACUCAUUUUAUUUGAAAAUUGUUGAAAUAUUAAGUUUUGUGUUUAUAUGUAUAUGUAUUUAUAAUUGUUUUCAUCAAAAAUAUUUGAAAAAAUCGGUUCUCGUUUUAAUUUGGGAAAGUUUCCAUAUCAAAUUUCA